AUUCUAUCUUACACAAAAUUCAGGUCCUUUUAUUCCAAUCACAUGACCAUGAUAAUGUGACAUCAAUCGCAUCUCAACCUACAACAGAGAUAAGACAUCGAGCUCCGACGUUCGAACACUUUUCCACAUCAUAACCUACACCAAGCCCCUCAGCAUCCUCAAACCAAAAGGCAUAUAAGCCGAGACUUCAGCCAGCUCGGGCAGUUCUUGUUCUAGUUUCUGUUCUUGUGCAGCCCCUUUCUCUCCGGUUCAGUGUCAUUCUGUUCUUGAUGUACGAACCAUGAAAUUCUAACGCGAGCAAUUGAACGCGCAAAUAGAGGUCCUCUAGCAUCCAGCACGUAAUUCCUGUUAUUUGUCACCGAGAUUCAACAGUUCGAUUCAUCACGAUGCUGCGUACGUGAAAAAUAUGGAAAAACGAAGAAAACAUCAGGCCAGAAACAUUACAGUGUGCAUUUCUUUCUUUUGUUUUUUCCUUUGAAACAUAUAUGGCGUUAACGAUAUGUAAACAGGAAUUCACUAACUGCCGAUAUUCUGUUUCAUACUCUUCUAAUUUUGUUUAUAUCAGAUUCUCUAUUAUGAUUAGACCGUGCAUGUUUAUAUAAAUUCGUAGCUUUAUUUAACACUAUUACAGAAAUACAAUUAUGGAAAUUGAACUUGAAUAAAACUUUCUUUCAUUCAAUACAA